GCGGUCUCAGUUCGGAUUGAAGGCUGAAAUUCGCCUUCAUGAAGUCGGAAUUGCUAGUAAUGGCAGGUCAGCAUACUGCCGUGAAUACGUUCCCGGGCCUUGUACACACCGCCCGUCACACCAUGAGAGUUGGAAAUACCCGAAGCCUGUGAGCUAACUUAAGGGAGGCAGCAGUCGAAGGUAGAGCCAAUGAUUGGGGUGAAGUCGUAACAAGGUAUC
rnacentral:rRNA from 1 species